rnacentral:rRNA from 1 species
UUGACAUCCAGAGAACUUAGCAGAGAUGCUUUGGUGCCUUCGGGAACUCUGAGACAGGUGCUGCAUGGCUGUCGUCAGCUCGUGUUGUGAAAUGUUGGGUUAAGUCCCGCAACGAGCGCAACCCUUAUCCUUUGUUGCCAGCGGUUAGGCCGGGAACUCAAAGGAGACUGCCAGUGAUAAACUGGAGGAAGGUGGGGAUGACGUCAAGUCAUCAUGGCCCUUACGAGUAGGGCUACACACGUGCUACAAUGGCAUAUACAAAGAGAAGCGACCUCGCGAGAGCAAGCGGACCUCAUAAAGUAUGUCGUAGUCCGGAUUGGAGUCUGCAACUCGACUCCAUGAAGUCGGAAUCGCUAGUAAUCGUGGAUCAGAAUGCCACGGUGAAUACGUUCCCGGGCCUUGUACACACCGCCCGUCACACCAUGGGAGUGGGUUGCAAAAGAAGUAGGUAGCUUAACCUUCGGGAGGGCGCUUACCACUUUGUGAUUCAUG